UACGUAGGGUGCGAGCGUUAAUCGGAAUUACUGGGCGUAAAGCGUGCGCAGGCGGUUGUGCAAGACAGAUGUGAAAUCCCCGGGCUCCAACCUGGGAAUUGCAUUUGUGACUGCACGGCUAGAGUGUGUCAGAGGGGUAGAAUUCCACGUGUAGCAGUGAAAUGCGUAGAGAUGUGGAGGAAUACCGAUGGCGAAGGCAGCCCUGGGCCAACUACUGACGCUCAUGCACGAAGCGUGGAGCAACAG
rnacentral:rRNA from 1 species